rnacentral:lncRNA from 1 species
UUAGGAUGAAGAAGCAAUCCCACUUUCAAAUCAGGUGAUUCCAGUUUUCCUGUUUGGGAAUAUGACAACUUCUUCGUCAUUUUAAUCAAACCAGGAUGAACCGCGAUGUAAGAAGCUGUAUUUGGACACAUAAAGUAGUGGAGAAUCACCAGAAGCUAUCCCACUUUCAAAUCAGGUGAUUCCAGUUUUCCUGUUUGGGAAUAUGACAAUUUCUUCAUCAUUUUAAUCAAACCAGGAUGAACCGCGAUGU